UGUGGGGAAGGUGCUCACCAUGAACCAAGAAUUGGGCUCCCACCAGGCACUGAAUCCACUGGUGCCUUGAUUUUAGACUUUGAGUCUCCAUAACUGGGAGGGAUUUCUAUUGUUUAUAGGCCAUGUGGCCUACAGUAUUUUGUUUUAGCAGGUGGAACAGACUAAUAUAGUCACCCAGAAAUCAGGAUCAUCUGGGAAAGAGACUCAGCGAAGCGGCAAUUAGGGGAGCGGUAUUGACAAGAAGGACCACCUGGAGGAGCAGCUAUCCGUGGGAAGAACAUGAGGUUCCCUUUAGCUGUGUUUCAGUCCCUUGGAGGAGGCUCAUUCUGUAAAUGCUUGUACAGAAGGCAAGCUGGCUCCUGAGAGAUGCCCUUUCCACCUGCCACAGGGCUGCAACAUGAACCACCUGGAGGAAUGAAGGCCACCUACUGAAAAUCACAGGCAGCUGAAUCCAGGGACGCUCAGCCCUGCGCUGAGUACUAAGGAGAGCAGGGAUUUCAACACGAGGUUCUCCUUGCUGAAGGCAGACACACAAGCUGUUGGCAGAGAAAUGAGGCCAUUGCAGGAGCUGACCAAAUGCAGGUUUUGGAAGACAUUUAAUUACCCAGGUCAUCUCCUUUGCCAUGAAGCACCAAGACCACUUACUGCAGCACUCAGAGAGGAGCCUGCAGGAUGGUGAUGGACUGACUCUUCCUGCCUCACACACCUGUUUGCGACCUUGUCCUCUCUGCACAGAGCUUCACACGUAUGAUCUCAUCAGUGCACCCAGAACUAAUCAGCAUAAUAAUCACACAGAAAUAACUCUAAAGUUAAGAAGAAACCUGGUUGGGGCAGAGGCUGAAGAGCAAAUGUCACAGAGUGUUCCGCCCCCCAGGGGCUCACUGUGUGCAUCAGGAGGACAGCAAGGGAGAUGGCUUUCGUCCCAACACUGGCUGGGGCCAGAAUUCCAACACAAGUACAGCCUCCCUGCUUCUCCAGGCAAGUGCCCUGAUACAGGCGUGGGAAGCACUGUCCCCUCGUCACCGCUGUGAACCUGUGCUCCUCGCCAUGCAUCGUCAUAGGGAAGGUCACCAUUCUCUUGUCCCCACUGGUCCAGAUCCCUCUCUGAUCCCAUGGCUGGCAUGAGCCCUUCUGAGUGCUGUGUGAACUCUGAGCUCACAGACGUGUCCAUGCAAGCACUUGGUAAGUGUUUCUCAUGUGAAUUUUGCUUCUGCAUCUGUAUUCUAAGUUUCUUGAGAGCAGAGAUGAUGCCCUGAGCUACUCAGGGCUUCCCUUGAGUUUGCUGAGUGCUGUAAGAUUUGGGACACUCGGAUAGAACACUCAGGCACUGGUAGCUGUGUCUGUUUCAUUUGUCGAUGUUAUUAGUGGGCUUCCUAAGACAAUUUUGAAGAUUAAUGACUGAGCCAUAUUUUAAAAAGUUUUAUUUAAAAUUUUUAAAUUUAUAUAAGGGGAACAAAUUUUGUGUUUCACAUAUACAGUUUUAAGAACGUAGUGAUACUUCCCAUUGUCCCUUAUCUUUCCUUCCUUAUUUUUUUAAUUUUUACUAUGACAUACAAUUUAGACUUCCUGCUUUGUCCUUUAAGAGUUUUUUGGAUUCUUGGGAAGCAGAGACCCUCUCAGGCUACAACUUCCUCACACUUUGUUUUUUUUUUAAAUUUAAUUUAAUUUAAAAAAAUUUUUUUUUUGACAGGCAGAAUGGACAGUGAGAGAGAGAUAGAGAGAAAGGCCUUCCUUUUCUGUUGGUUCACCCCCAUAUGGCCGCUGUGGCCAGCACGCUGCGGCUGGCACACCCCGCUGAUCUGAAGUCAGGAGCCAGGUGCUUCUCCUGGUCUCCCAUGGCUUGCAGGGCCCAAGCACUUGGGCCAUCCUCCUCUGCACUCCCUGGCCACAGCAGAGAGCUUUCCUGGAAGAGGGGCAACCGGGACAGAAUCCGGCACCCCGACCCGGACUAGAACCUGGGGUGCGGGCGCCGCAGGCGGAGGAUUAGCCUAGUGAGCUGCAGCGCCGGCCUCCUCACACUUUAAAGUAAUGUUUUAUAAACAUGUUUGGUGUAUCAGAAAUCGUUUCAAAAAGGGCAGUUGAACACAGAAAUGUUGGGUGUGGGCUUUGAGCUUGAAUGUGGGCGUUUUCUGGCAAGUCUGGGAGACAUGUGAUAUGCUUCUUCCUGUGUAAAAUGACAAUCACACCUAAAAGAGACUGUGCUCAAACAACAUCAGACAUACAGUGAACAGACCCUAGCGUCCCCUGUUUGUAACUGCGGCCUAUUCAGGAAUCUCCAGACAUUCCACAACCAGUUUCCUCUGUCUGGUGUACAUGUGAGUUAAAUUACUCAGGUAUAGUUGAAGGUGAGAUUAAGCUGCAUUACCCAUCAGGUUGUCGAUCAAAUACCACAGGUGGUGUUCAGGUGAGCUUCACUUAACUGCUGGGUAAUAUUGGGUACAGCCUGGGCCCACUGUCUUGCUGAUAAAAUUUCCAUCAAGGUUGGAGACUGAGAAAAUGUUGAUUAUUUAAUAACAGCCCAAACAAUAAGACUUGUUUCAAAAAUCUCAGGAGAGAACACAGCCAAGGCAGAUAAGAGGCAAUGAAUAUCCAUCAGAAGCCAUUCAAAGGGAAGUCCCACAACUCCCUCUGAGCAGGCAGAAUUGAAUGGGGGAGGGUGGCAUUGUGGACACUCCAGCGUGGGAUCAAGGUCUCCAUCUCUUGUCAUGCAUUCAGACUUGGUUAGCCUAGCAGGAUGCACUGGGAAGGGUGCUUCUCCUUGGUGCUGUUCUUCCUGACAAUGCAGAGCCCCAGUCCAACCUCUAGGAGACAGGAGGAGGCAGGUUGCUUCUCUACCUCUGAUUACUAGAUUAUGAGUGACCUCACCCCCGUAUCAUUUGGUCAUAGCCAGGCCUUAGAGUAAAGAGGCUGCAGGAACCAGGCCUUUUCAUUAAAUCUGGUUUUAGACCUAGAGACUCCUUCGACUUUCUCUUCUGAAGCAGACCUCUCUGUAAACUUGUAAUCACACGGAAUGCCUUUGAAAAACACCCUUCAAAGGAUCAGUAGGGAACUUGUGCUUCCCCUGUAGUUUCAGAGGGCUCCAUGGCCUCUUUUUUCUCCUUUAAAUAAAAAAUUCAGUCCUCUUGGACUCUAAAUUAUU
rnacentral:lncRNA from 1 species